UCGAAGACAGUAUUGUUUUUAAGAUGGAAAAAUCCCAUCACUUUUUACUAUAUUGGCGUAAAUUAGUUCUAUUUUGAUUAUAUUGAUUUGCACAACACUGCGCCAAUAUUUUGUUCCAUACUGCAGCCCCCACCUCUACUGACGCUAUUGGCUGACGCUCUUCAAGUUUUUAAGUGGCUGCGACAUAUAUUGAAGGCGUGUUUAAAACCAGUUAUGAGAGUGGCUAGUUCGCCGAGAGUGGUUAUGAAGCAGAAUUUACGUACACUUCUCAAUAACUCACCACUAAGGCGAUAAGUUUUGCUUUUUCCAUCGCAUGCUUUAAGCACGGCUGAACAUGUGGGAGUGAUCUUGAAUACAAUUUGACAGGUCUGCGUAUGCAAUAGAUAUAUUUCGAUAAAAGUUCACACCGCAUAUAGUGGAAUUUAAGAUGUAGUUCAAAUGAUUCCUUCAUUGUGACGCUAAUCGAUUAAAAUUAUAGUACGUUGCAAGACUUAUCAAAAUUGGAUCAACAUGCAGUGGCGGACAAAACUAAGGCACCAUCUUCCAUUUCCUUCAAUAAAAAUUCGAAUAAUAACCUUCUUCGAGCACACUUCAAUUUUAUGAAAGUAAUAUCCUAAACACUUUACUCUAUCAAUAAUAUUUUUUUUUGCAUGUGGAAUACCAGUCGAAACCCAAACACA